rnacentral:lncRNA from 1 species
ACAGGAAGCUCAUGGAAGGAAUUAGGCCUAGAGAAUGGCAGAGGUGGUGCUUCUGGGAGUGGUGACAUGGAACAUUCUAGAAGAGAGGAGACUGGUCAGUUCCUCAAGCCCUGGAACGGGAGUCUGCCAGUGAGGGGACUUGUGUCUGGUCUCUGCCAACAUGGCGAGGAAGUGGCGGGACAGAAGGGAAUGGACCCAUGCAGGGCAAGAAUUCCAUAUUGGGUUUCUUUCUUUCCACUGCUUCUCAUAGGAAGGGUUUUUCAAAGCACAUGCACCAAGAACAAGAGGACUGGGUGAAAGAAAACAACUCUUGUGGCAACUUGAAUCUGAUAAGAGGACUCACAUUAUUCCUGCACCUCGAAGGCUGGUGGAGGGAAAUAUGGGCUAAUGAAGGAAGAUUCCUUGGUACAGACCCUGCCUUGGCUCCAGAACCUACAGGAACUGGCCUGGAAAUUUGCCUCUGGACACCCUAGUGACUAUGGAAAUGAGAGAAGCAUUAUCAGCAGUAAGGUUCAGCAUCCAUAAGCUAAAAAUAAAUCAUUAACUUAGAAUUACAGUUCUUCUUACACUGACUUGAGAAAGAUUUGAGAAAAUUUGAUCUCAUGGGUCUUCAAAGGAUAAGACAGGGGAGAGUGUUCAAGAUGACAUAUUUCCAGUAAAGUCACUAGUGAGUUCCAGAGGCCAGUGGAAUAAGAAUGCAAAUGUAGGUACUGGGGAAUUGUUCAAUCUUUCUCUAAAUUUGCAUCCUUUUAAAGUAUGUUUUCUUUGGGGACUUUCGUGGCUGUCCAGAAGUUGACUUUACCUUCCAAUGCAGGGGGUGCAGGUUCGAACCCUGGUCAAGGAUCUAAGAUCCCACAUGCCUAGCAGCCAAAAAACCAGAACAGAAAAGCAACUGAAGCAAUAUUGUAACAAAUUCAAUAAAGAAUAAACUUCCCUUUAAAAAAAUAAAAAUAAAGUAAGUUGUCUUCAAUUCUAGUUAAGGUUGCCAAUAUUUAGUUGCUUCCAUGGAGAUCUGAUUUCAAGGGAGCAGCAGAACUGAGUUGAAAGCUUGCACAGGAAGGCUCCCAGCAGCAUUACUCACACGGCCAAAAGGUGGGAACAAACCAAAUGUCCAUCAACUAACGAAAAGGCAAACAACAUAUGUGCUGCUGCGCUUAGCUGUUCAGUCGUGUCUGACCCUUUGCGACCCCAUAGAC